rnacentral:lncRNA from 1 species
CUCCCUUGGACUCUGCUGCCUCCUAGGAAGGGAGUGGUCCGGGCACCUCUGCUUCCCACCAGCCUCCCUGCUGUUGCAAGGUCAGAAAUCACAGCCCCUCCCUGUCCCAAGGCCAGGGCCCCAGAGCCCACAGCUGCCUGGAACCUUGCGCCCAGAUCAGCCGCCCAGAUCAGCCGGCUGCUGGCACUCACUGCAGAGCCCCCCUGCGAGCGGUCCUCUGAGGUUCUGCCCGCAGUAGCCUUUCAGCAUCUCCCUGGGGGUGGGGGACAGGAAAGCUGGCUGCCAGAGCCCUGCAGCUGUCCUGGACACAGGAAGUCCUCAGCCACAUGUAAAAGUGUCUGUCAGGAGACCUUCAGAACGAAACCCAGCAUUUUGCCUCACAUGUUUCCACAGAAGGUGUUCCUCUAAUGCGCAGACAUUCAGUGAACAGCACUUAAACUCAAUCACUCGUCACGUCUUUAAUUAAAUCUUCAAAUUGGAAACUACGCAGUGAGAGUCUGUCUUCAAAAUAGCAUGAGAAAACACAAGCAGGCUUCAUUUCUUGUUGUAGCAAUGCCAGUUUUCCAUAAUCCGACCUCCAGUUGACAUCAGUGGACCAGAACCUUUCUUCAAAGGACUGUAUAUAUUUUUAUAACCUGGAUGCACAAGAUGACGGCAGAGGAUUAUCUUCGGUCAUUAAAGAUCUUGGAACAUUCUUUAUUACGGAUGGAACAAACAGCUCUGUGGUUAGUUAGGAUAUGUGUUUGAAGCUGACUUGAGCUGUCUUUUGUUGUCACAAGGUAUGGCCUCCAACUCUAGGAUCAGAAGUACUUUUUUCUUUACGACCAAUAUCUAAAAGCAGAUUACAUAUGACUCACACUUUAUGUAGGCAUAAUUGACAGUAUAAUUGAGAGUUAAGUGUGAGCUUUAAAAACUUCAUAGAUACUCACACACAAGAAAACUCUCCAUACUCUCUCUCCCGAGAAAGCUGUAUUUUUUUUCCCAGGGAAAGUUUGCUGAGGCACUGUCUUCAGACGUUGUAUUUUAUUCUUCGAUGACCUUUAGUUUGUUUUAUAAGAAAAAAAAUGUUUUUAGUCCACAUAUCCUUUUUCUCCAGAAUAUGAACAAAUAAGUAAUCACUUACAAGGAGCACUGGCAUAGCCACAAGAUGCCAAUGUCAAAAGAAAUUUAGCUUGACAAGAAAGCUUUCGGUUUGAGCUUUUUCCCUUGAGCAUAAAAUAGACAAUGCAAAUUUUAAGAAAGAGACAGAAAACCGGGCUUGGAAUGAAGAGUAGGAGCCCAGUUUUGAUGUUUGGCUACUGAAAAGUCUUAAGUCUACCCCUGCCUUUCCCUUUGGCCCUGCCCCUGGACAAGCUAAGAAAGUCCAGGCGCAGCACUGUCAGCAGUAGUGAACUUCAAGCCACGCCAGGCCGCUCCGCACGGCUGUGCACUGGGCCCUCGCCCCAGCACUGCCUUCUAACCACAGUGAAACCAUAAGCCAGUCUCCCUUCCCCACUGUCUCAAGCCCUGUUUGGAUUGUCUUUGGGUCCUGCCCUGCUCUGCCCAGAAAACCUCAUUAAUGAGUAAUCCCAUGCCCUAGUUUUGACGUACGUACCACAUUUUUGGUGGGAAGUGUACAUCUUUCUCCUGUAGGGUGAUCACGGUACGACCGCACCAAAUUGUGAAAAAUGUACAAGUAAGCAGGAAAAAAACUCACAAAAUUUUAAUGAAAUGUUAGCAGUGAUUUUCUUUGAGUGUUUUUAAAAAAUUUUCUCUGUAUCUUCUCAAAUGUCUGCUAAAGAUACAUAUUUUUAAUAAGCAAAAAGCAAUGUAACGCGAUCGGAGUAAAAACUGCUCCGCAUUAAGUAAGCAGCAAGGAAAAUGCACAAGCCAUUUUGAUUAGUUUUGUUAAAUUUAUCUAAUUCUGAAUUACAAAUACAAAAGAAAAACCCACAAAAGAUAAAGGCUUACAUAAUCUUUUUCUCUCCAAGAAAGAAAAUAAAUGAGUAAAAUGAACCAUAACUGCACGAAGUUUCACUUUUUGAGAAAGUUUUAAUCUAAUCUUUGAAACUAUUUGGAUGAAAGUCAGCAUUGAAAAACAUCUGCUUUAAAAAAAAAGAAAAAAUAAAAGUGUUAUUGCUCAGGAUUCAAAGGCUGAACUGAACUCAUUCAGACCUAAGAGCACUUAAAAAUGUUAAUUAAAAACGUAUUAACAGCAGCAUCGUGUACGUGGCCAUCCC